GUAGUCUCGCACAGAUGCAUAUCAAUAAGCGGAGGAAAAGAAACUAACAAGGAUUCCCCUAGUAACGGCGAGUGAAGCGGGAAGAGCUCAAAUUUGAAAUCUUAAAGGGUUUCCCUUUACGAAUUGUAGUUUAAAGAAGUGUUUUCCGUUGAGGUUUUGGUAAAAGUUCUUUGGAAUAGGACAUCAUAGAGGGUGAGAAUCCCGUAUUUGACCUUUACUUUCAACUUUGUGAUACACUUUCAAAGAGUCGGAUUGUUUGGGAAUGCAGUCCAAAAUGGGUGGUAAAUUUCAUCUAAAGCUAAAUAUUGGCGAGAGACCGAUAGCGAACAAGUACCGUGAGGGAAAGAUGAAAAGAACUUUGAAAAGAGAGUUAAACAGUACGUGAAAUUGUCAAAAGGGAAGCGUUUGACACCAGUGUUGUUUUUCUGAAAAUCAAUUAAAGAACUGUUUAUGCUAAGCUGUUUAGACUUUAUCAGCUAUCUGUUUAGUUUUGAGCUUUUCUUUAAUGCACUUUUCAGUUAACAAGUCAACAUCAAUUUCUUUUGCUGUAAAAAAGCUUGAGGAAGGUGGCUUGAGAUUCGUCUUAAGUGUUUAUAGCCUCUUGCCUAUGCAGUCGGAGAGAUUGAGGUCUGCAGCGUAGAUCCUUCGGGGCUAAAUGCAUUUGUGCUAAGUUAUAGCAUUUCAUAGACAACUUGUUGACUAUGAUUUGUCUUGUAGCUUACUCGCUUAUGUUAUUUUACCUACGCUUAGGAUGUUGACAGCAGUAUAGACUGU
rnacentral:rRNA from 1 species